rnacentral:rRNA from 1 species
GACGAACGCUGGCGGCAUGCCUAAUACAUGCAAGUCGAACGAGGAUAUCCUCUGUUUGCAGAGAAUUGUAGGGUAGCGGACGGGAGAGUAACUUGUGGGGAAACUAACCCCCCGAGGGGGAUAAUAAUAGGAAAUGGAUGCUAAUAACGCAAAAUGCUUCGGACUGCGUGGUGCAGAGAUGGAAGAAGGUUUUUGGUGUCGCACAAGGCUGGCACCGCGCCGUAUGAGAUAGGGUGUGAGGGAAUGGCCUACCAAAGCUGGGAUAAGUAGCCGCUCUGAAAGGGUGAUUGGCUACCCUGGGACUGAGACACGGCCCAGACUCCUACGGUAGGCAGCGGUACGGAAUCUUCCGCAAUGGGCGAAAGCCGAAUAUAGCAAUGCCGCGUGAAUGAUGAAGGUCCUCUGCUCGGAAAGUGCUGUUAGUAGUGAAGAACAAAUGAAGUUGUACCUGUCAUGACUUUGACGGUACCUAACCAGAAAGUCACGGCUAACUACGUG